GAUGAACGCUGGCGGCGUGCCUAAUACAUGCAAGUCGAGCGAACAGAUGAGAAGCUUGCUUCUCUGAUGUUAGCGGCGGACGGGUGAGUAACACGUGGGUAACCUACCUAUAAGACUGGGAUAACUCCGGGAAACCGGGGCUAAUACCGGAUAAUAUUUUGAACCGCAUGGUUCAAUAGUGAAAGACGGUUUCGGCUGUCACUUAUAGAUGGACCCGCGCCGUAUUAGCUAGUUGGUAAGGUGAAGGCUUAACAAGGCGACGAUACGUAGCCGACAUGAGAGGGUGAUCGGCCACACUGGAACUGAGACACGGUCCAGACUCCUACGGGAGGCAGCAGUAGGGAAUCUUCCGCAAUGGGCGAAAGCCUGACGGAGCAACGCCGCGUGAGUGAUGAAGGUCUUCGGAUCGUAAAACUCUGUUGUUAGGGAAGAACAAAUUUGUUAGUAACUGAACAAGUCUUGACGGUACCUAACCAGAAAGCCACGGCUAACUACGUGCCAGCCGCCGCGGUAA
rnacentral:rRNA from 1 species